rnacentral:rRNA from 1 species
GGGUCAGUAGGUUGGUCGUGCCACCGGUACGUACUGGUCUCACUGAUUCCUCCUUCCUGAAGAACCGUAAUGCCAUUAAUUUGGUGUCGCGGGGAAACAGGACUGUUACUUUGAAAAAAUUAGAGUGUUUAAAGCAAGCUAACGCUUGAAUGCAUUAGCAUGGAAUAAUGAAAUAGGACGAUCGAUCCUAUUUUGUUGGUUUCUAGGAUUGACGUA